CCUACGGGAGGCAGCAGUAGGGAAUCUUGCGCAAUGGGCGAAAGCCUGACGCAGCGACGCCGCGUGCGGGAAGAAGGCCUUCGGGUUGUAAACCGCUUUCAGGAGGGACGAAGCCACUCGGGUUAAUAGCCCAGAGGGUGACGGUACCUCCAGAAGAAGCCCCGGCUAACUACGUGCCAGCAGCCGCGGUAAUACGUAGGGGGCUAGCGUUGUCCGGAUUUAUUGGGCGUAAAGCGCGUGUAGGCGGCCAGGUAGGUCAGCUGUGAAAACUCGAGGCUCAACCUCGAGAUGUCGGCUGAAACCAUCUGGCUAGAGUCCGGAAGAGGAGAAUGGAAUUCCCGGUGUAGCGGUGAAAUGCGCAGAUAUCGGGAAGAACACCCGUGGCGAAGGCGGUUCUCUGGGACGGUACUGACGCUGAGACGCGAAAGCGUGGGGAGCGA
rnacentral:rRNA from 1 species